GAGAAAUCUCAAUAAGUUAGAGACCGCAUAAUUCGUAAUGACGGGGUCGGGGGUUCGAAUCCCUCUUGCGCACCA
rnacentral:tRNA from 1 species